rnacentral:rRNA from 1 species
UAGAGUUUGAUCCUGGCUCAGAACGAACGCUGGCGGCGUGCCUAACACAUGCAAGUCGAACGAGAAAUCCGACACUCAGGCAACUGAGUGUUAGAGAGUAAAGUGGCGCACGGGUGAGUAACGCGUGGGUAACCUACCCUUGAAACCGGGAUAACCCCGCGAAAGCGGGACUAAUACUGGAUAUGGUUCCAUUGGCCUCGGCCUUUGGAAUUAAAGGUGACCUCUUCAUGAAAGUUGCCGUUCAGGGACGGGCUCGCGUACCAUUAGCUUGUUGGUAGGGUAAUGGCCUACCAAGGCUACGAUGGUUAGCUGGUCUGAGAGGAUGAUCAGCCACACUGGAACUGGAACACGGUCCAGACUCCUACGGGAGGCAGCAGUGAGGAAUUUUGCGCAAUGGGGGAAACCCUGACGCAGCAACGCCGCGUGAGCGAAGAAGGCCCUCGGGUCGUAAAGCUCUGUCAAGUGGGAAAAAUACCCAUCGGCCAAUAGCCGGUGGGCUUGAUGGUACCACUGGAGGAAGCACCGGCUAACUCCGUGCCAGCAGCCGCGGUAAUACGGAGGGUGCAAGCGUUGUUCGGAAUUACUGGGCGUAAAGGGCGUGCAGACGGUUUGGUAAGUCAGGCGUGAAAGCCCUGGGCUUAACCCAGGAAGUGCGUUUGAAACUGCCUUUCUUGAGUAUGGGAGAGGAGAGUGGAAUUCCCAGUGUAGAGGCGAAAUUCGUAGAUAUUGGGAGGAACACCCGUGGCGAAGGCGACUCUCUGGACCAAUACUGACGCUGAGACGCGAAAGCGUGGGGAGCAAACAGGAUUAGAUACCCUGGUAGUCCACGCCGUAAACGAUG